UUCUCUACGGUGACAUGAUUGUGUCCUGGGAUGGCUCCCACUCGUAUCGCUAUGAAAACAGAAGUUUCAUAAACCAGAGAUGAGUUACUUCAACUCAGUUUAAUUCAAUAAACAGUUAUUGAACAUUUACUGUGUCCAGGAUACCAUUGGCCAUGGUGAAUGAUACAUGAUCCCUCCUAUCAAGAAAUUUGCAAUCUAGUAUGGGAGAAACUAUGCAAAUAAAUGUCCAACCAUAAGAUGACUGCUACGGUAUAGUAACAAGCAAAGAUUUAGGAACUCAGUAGGUAAACAACCACCACCUGUUCACCCCCUCUCCUCCAAAAGAGGAAAAAAAGAAUUUUUCCUUUGAUGACAGCAACACAUGACCCAGGAAGGUUGUGACAGAAAUAAAGUUUACAGAAGUCGUGUUCCUGCGAUAAGAAAUAAAGAUGUGACCUUCCAGUUGUGUAAAGCUCUUAAAUGCUGUGUAAGUGCGUCGGGUGCGCUAAGGACCCUGGAGCUAAAUGGGCUAGUUCUGAGAGAGAGAGACUUAACUAUGUUAACAAGGGAUUGAAUAAAUUGGCCACUUUAUCAGCACCUCAUGCCUGUCACAUUAAUGGCUGAACUAGAAAAUCAGAAGGAUCAGCACAGAAGUGCUUCUCAAUGGGGGUGAUUUUGUCCCCUCGGGGAUAUUUGGCAAUAUCUGGAGACACUUUUGGUUGUCACAAGUAGCUGAUGUGUUACUGGCAUCUAGUAGCUGCCAAGCAGUAACAGCUGUCUUUGUACUGAAUCCCGGAAGUGUCUCUGUAUCCUGGAAGUAUUGCAAUGAUCGUCUUCACACCUGCGAAAUAUUCCUGCACCGUGUACGCCAAUGAUUAUGGCUCCGCUCUCGGGCCUCACCUGGGAGCUACUGCAUGUGAGGAUCAAAUUGAUACACAUUAGGGCAUCCUCAGCGGUCUUUGGCAAAGGCCUAUAGAUUACCUCGCUAUCCAAUUUGUUAACUGGACAGCAGAGCCUGAGUGGAAAGAACAAUGCGCUCGUCAGUUGGGAGAAGCUCCUCCAGGUAUCAACAGAUACAAGCAAGGCAAUCUCACUGUGCAGGUUGAUUAGAACUGGGUUUGUAUUUUGGACAAUAAACUCUACUUACGAUAGUCUCCCAGUCAUUAAGUAUCUCUGCUGUAAGAGAAAACUGGGGCUAUUAACUUCUCCAGAUAGAACCCGAGGGAAAAGUGAUCAUUUCUUUUCUAAGCAGAAGGGAAGGUUCUGCUCAAUAAAGAUCAAUUAAACAUCUCUGUUAAAAGACUGCUUGGAGCUGGUGCCAAAGGAAAUUCCACUGUAUUAACCCGUGCUCCCUCCAACCCUCCCCACCUCUGUAGCUUGCGCUGGGGAAAAUUGUAAGAGGACGCUGGCUAUUGUAAGCUUUAUAAGGUGACAGUAGCUCUCACAUCCGUGGCUGAAUGAUCUUUGAUGUUGAGUGACUUUUCCUGCAUUUAGCAGGGGUAUUCCCAGAGGAUGGCAGGCAAAUCAAACGCUCCUCUGAAUUCAGCUGCUAGCAUCAAUCAUCCUCAUGAGGGAGUAAAAAAAAGAAUAUAACAAUAGGUACCGGGAAAAAUGAUAUGGUGGUCUGAGCUAGUAAUUCCCAGGAUGCAGGAAGAGUUUUGGGGGCCCUAGAAAAUCCACUGCAUAAAGAAAACCCGCCACAAUCUCCACCAGCAUCUUAUAGUUACCACCUCAUUCUUGUCCUUUAAAAUACAGUGUGCUUGUCCUUUAAAAUACAGUGUGUCUUGUACAUUAAAAUACAGUGUGCUUCUACUCUCUGGCUGAGACUGCAUCCUCUCAUGUAAAUUCCAUCUGUUCUUGCUUGAGGGAGGGCAGACACAACCUUGACUUUAUCCUCUUGAUGAGAGUGAUGUUUCAUGGUGUUGGGAGGAUUUUCAUUGGGUCAAUUGCCUGAUUGAGACAUAGCCUUAGUGAGGUGACAAAUAGCAGGCAUUAAUGUCUCUUUUUUAAUGGUAUGAUGAAUGGUCUAAGAGAAGGGUCAGCAAACUGUAGCCAGCCGCCUGUUUUUGUAAAUAAAUUAUUGGACCACAGCCAGACCAGUUCAUUCAUGAAUUUUGUCUGGCUCCUUUUGCGUCGAGUAGUUGUGACAGAGACCUAACGGCCCACAAAGCCAAAGAUACUCCCUGGCCCCGGCCACCCCUGAUCUAAGACCGUUCCCACAGUCCUCUGAUGAUAAGAAUCACCUGGAUCAUUUGUUCAAAAGACAAUUUCUGGGUCCAGCUUGGAACCCCUGAGUCAGAAUCUCCAGGGAAGGGGCUUUGGGAAGGUAGAGUGAACAAGCUUCCCGGGUGAUUCUUAUCCCCAGGGAACUACUGGUCUCAGGUGUGCCUGCCUAGCAGGUAAGGAGGAGGUUUUCAAAGAGGCAGUGGGGGUGGGGGGUUGGGCGGAGUUUGCCUUGGAGAGCACAGGCCUCGCGGUUUCACUGCUGGGACUGCAUCCCAGCUCCGCUUCUCCCCGAGCUUCGCCACCUCAGGUAAGUUCCUUUUCACACUGUUUCCUCCGCUGAGAAGUGAGGGUCAUGGUGCCCGGUUGGCAGUGUGUGUAUAUACGCUGAGAGCCUAAUCCAAGGCUCGGUAGUGGUCACCCUCACUAAGAGGAGCAGCGCCAUGUAAACACAGAAGACCCCGCUGUGGAAACAUCUCAUAAAUAAGACAGGCCCAGCGGGGCUUUUCAGUAGUCCACGGUGUACAGCUGUUUUCCUCAGAAGGAAAAACUCCCUUAAAGGAAUCUCCCAUUACGUUCAGGACCGUAUACGGCCCUUUAGAAACUCAAUUCUCCACAGCAUGCUGAGUAUUGCAAGAGGUUAUCAUUGGCUGUUUUAGGAUAUAGCUGAGUUUGCAAAGGAAUAUUUAAUUUCAUGAUUGAAAACUCUGGUACUUAGCACGAGACAGACAUAUAUAUAUAUUCUGUUUCUGAGGUUAAUGUUUUUAAAAACUCUUUGCCUGACGAGAUCAAGCAAUUUCAGCCAUUCGUGUAGCUGUUGAAAGGCAGUUUUUAGAUGAAUUGCCCAUAAAUCCUUGCAAGAUACAGGACCCAAUAAUACUUCAGGUUACCAGGGAGUUUCAUAUUUUACUAAAAGGGGGAAAAAGUCAAUCUUGAAUCUUUUAGUCCGAUGACCAAAGAAUUGCUCCAUUGAUUUUGUUCAGCUACUCAGGUGGGUGUGCAGUUGAUCCUGAUUGGAUCUUAUUUAAAGUUUACUUUUUCUGGGAAGUAUUAAUUCGAAUGUAGUAUGGGUAAUACUGGAAUACUAGAGCCUCUUUAAAGCCACUUUACACAGCUUGUGUAAACAUCCUAGGGUAGUUUCCUCUUAACAUUUUCACAAAUACAGAACUUGAGUUUGCUGUAUGUUUUCCUCUUUUUAACAGAAGAGGGAGGUAAAGGCUUGGCUAAACAAUGUACUUAAAACCCAGGCUAGAGGGAAAUGGAUUCAUAUUCUUAGAGGAACAGGUAAACAAGAACAGCAUGAAUUCUGCCAAGUAUGAUUUAGGUUUGUGAAGGAAGGAAAAAAAGCACACUUGGCAAAUGAGUGUGGUUUGCUGAUUUCUUUAUUUUUAAACUUAGUUUUAAACGAAAGUACCAGUGAGACCCGAGAAAAACGAAUCUGCAGAGGGCAGGAGGAGGGGUA